rnacentral:snoRNA from 1 species
UUCCUUUGUACACAUUAAUAUUCAUUCAUUCACUCAAGAAGAUGCAGAAUUUGAAUAGGAAGAUCUGAUAC